GACGAACGCUGGCGGCGUGCUUAACACAUGCAAGUCGAGCGGAAAGGCCCUUUUGGGGGUACUCGAGCGGCGAACGGGUGAGUAACACGUGAGUAAUCUGCCCUUCACUCUGGGAUAACGUUCAGAAAUGGGUGCUAAUACCGGAUGUUCACAUGGUCUCGCAUGGGAUGGCGUGGAACGGUUUUUUCUGGUGGGGGAUGUGCUCGCGGCCUAUCAGCUUGUUGGUGGGGUAAUGGCCUACCAAGGCUUUGACGGGUAGCCGGCCUGAGAGGGUGACCGGCCACACUGGGACUGAGACACGGCCCAGACUCCUACGGGAGGCAGCAGUGGGGAAUAUUGGACAAUGGGCGGAAGCCUGAUCCAGCAACGCCGCGUGAGGGAUGACGGCCUUCGGGUUGUAAACCUCUUUCACCAUUGACGAAGCUGCAUCUUUGUGGGUGUGGUGACGGUAGGUGGGGAAGAAGCACCGGCCAACUACGUGCCAGCAGCCGCCGCGG
rnacentral:rRNA from 1 species